rnacentral:rRNA from 1 species
GACGAACGCUGGCGGCGUGCUUAACACAUGCAAGUCGAACGGAAAGGCCCUGCUUUUGUGGGGUGCUCGAGUGGCGAACGGGUGAGUAUCACGUGAGUAACCUGCCCUUGACUUUGGGAUAACUUCAGGAAACUGGGGCUAAUACCGGAUAGGAGCUCCUGCUGCAUGGUGGGGGUUGGAACGUUUCGGCGGUUGGGGAUGGACUCGCGGGUUAUCAGCUUGUUGGUGGGGUAGUGGCUUACCAAGGCUUUGACGGGUAGCCGGCAUGAGAGGGUGACCGGCCACAAGGGUACUGAGAGACGGACCAGACUCCUACGGGAGGCAGCAGUGGGGAAUAUUGUACAAUGGGCGGAAGCCUGAUGCAGCAACGCCGCGUGCGGGAUGACGGCCUUCGGGUUGAAAACCGCUGUCGCCUGUGACGAAGCGUGAGUGACGGUAAUGGGUAAAGAAGCACCGGCUAACUACGUG